UUUGAUCGACCCGAGCCACAGCGGCUCGCCGUCGGGGCGGUCCUGCCCGUACGUCGCCAUCAGGGCCUGGGCCUC
rnacentral:antisense_RNA from 1 species